rnacentral:snRNA from 10 species
AAAGUUGAGCAAAAGUAGUAGUAAGACCACCCAUGGCCUAGGCUGGUGACCUCCAUUGCACAUUGGAGGGAUGUCAGCCUAAGGUCGUCCCAAGUGGUUGAGCCUACGGCAUAAUUUGUGGUAGCGAUUUCUUGUCAGUUAAGAAAUUGA